GGUCGGUUUGGCCGGAUUUCACACAGGUGUUGCAUGGCUGUCGUCAGCUCGUGUCAUGAGAUGUUGGGUUAAGUCCCGCAACGAGCGCAACCCUCAUCCUUAGUUACCAUCAGGUUAUGCUGGGGACUUUAAGGAAACUGCCAGUGAUAAACUGGAGGAAGGUGGGGAUGAUGUCAAGUCAUCAUGGCCCUUAUGGAGUGGGCUACAUACGUGCUACAAUGGUGAUUACAAUGGGCUGCAAGGUUGCAAGGCUGAGCUAAUCCUAAAAAAUCGUCUCAGUUCGGAUUGUUCUCUGCGACUCGAGAGCAUGAAGUUGGAAUCGCUAGUAAUCGUGGAUCAGCAUGCCACGGUGAAUACGUUCUCGGGUCUUGUACACACUGCCCGUCACGCCAUGGUAAUUGGUUUCACUCGAAGCU
rnacentral:rRNA from 1 species